CCGAGGGCGCCGGGUCCUGGCGGGGCGCGGGCUUUCCGCUGAUGACGGGCGUCUGCUUUCCAUCUUUUUCCACGGUGGGGACAGGGGUACUUGACUCUUCUUUUGGGGGGAAUGAUGAGUUUUCUCCGUUCCAGAGCCAAGUUCUGCGUCUGGUGGUCAGUUUAUCGGUGUGGACUUCAGGAGAGUCCGCCUCGAUGUUGGUCUGUGUAUGCUUUUGCACGGAGAGGCAUUCCCAGAUACAGCUGGGACAACAUUUCACUUUCAGGAGGUGUAGACCUUCUUGGCCCUAAGUUUCCGAUAGGAUUCUACGUUUUCCUCCUGCCCAGCGUUUCCAAGGUGCUUCCACAGCUCUGUCCUCUCUGUCUGGAAAGCUGAGUUCCUGCCGUGCACUCUGCCAAAAACACGCUUGGAGCAGCCAGCAGUUGGAGCCUUCUGCAUUCAUUAGUGCACCCAGUGGCUUAUUUCACCUUCCUGAAGCCUUGUGCCUAAGCCUGUCCAGUGUUUUGAGGAAUGCAAAAAUAUAAAUAUAUUUGUCAAUUGAAAUGCA